rnacentral:rRNA from 1 species
UACGUAGGGUGCAAGCGUUAAUCGGAAUUACUGGGCGUAAAGCGUGCGCAGGCGGUUAUGUAAGACAGAUGUGAAAUCCCCGGGCUCAACCUGGGAACUGCAUUUGUGACUGCAUAGCUAGAGUACGGUAGAGGGGGAUGGAAUUCCGCGUGUAGCAGUGAAAUGCGUAGAUAUGCGGAGGAACACCGAUGGCGAAGGCAAUCCCCUGGACCUGUACUGACGCUCAUGCACGAAAGCGUGGGGGAG